rnacentral:rRNA from 1 species
AUUGAACGCUGGCGGCAGGCUUAACACAUGCAAGUCGAACGAGUGGCGGACGUGUGAGUAAUGCUUGGGAAUCUAGCUUAUGGAGGGGGAUAACUACGGGAAACUGUAGCUAAUACCUCGUACCAUCGGAUGAGCCCACGUGGGAUUAGGUAGUUGGUGAGGUAAAGGCUCCCCAAGCCGACGAUCGCUAGCUGGUCUGAGAGGCUGACCAGCCACACUGGGACUGAGACACGGCCCAGACUCCUACGUGAGGCAGCAGUGGGGAAUAUUGCGCAAUUGGGGCAACCUGACGCAGCCAUGCCGCGUGAAUGAAGAGGGCCUUCGGGUUGUAAAGUUCUUUCGGUAGCGAGGCGUUAACUACAGAAGAAGCACCGGCUAACUCCGUGCCAGCAGCCGCGGUAAUUC